GACGAACCGUGCGAACGUUGUUCGGAAUCACUGGGCUUAAAGGGCGCGUAGGCGGGCUGUCGCGUCUGGGGUGAAAUCCUCCGGCUCAACCGGGGAAGGGCCUCGGGUACGGACGGCCUCGAGGGGGGUAGGGGCGUGCGGAACUGUGGGUGGAGCGGUGAAAUGCGUUGAUAUCCACAGGAACUCCGGUGGCGAAGGCGGCACGCUGGACCCUCACUGACGCUGAGGCGCGAAAGCCAGGGGAGCGAACGGG
rnacentral:rRNA from 1 species